rnacentral:pre_miRNA from 1 species
CUUCUACUUUAACAUGGAGGUGCUUUCUGUGAUUUAAAAAGUAAGUGCUUCCAUGUUUUAGUAGAGG